UGGCGAGUGGAUCGAGCUCACUGCUGAUUCAGGUGAACUGAACUGUGGAUAUCCUGACAACACAGAUUGGCUUCACUCCAAAGAACUAUUUCUAAACAGGUUUUGAAAAAUCAAAACCUACAGUGCUGCCCCUGCAUUUAGGAUAGACCUUCACACUUCAGUUAACCUGGAUGGAAGAUCCACAUGGACAUGACCAAGCUUAGUAACUGCAGGACACUAAGAGCCGUUCAGUUAACAAUCAGUUAACAAAAGGUCAUUUGUCACAUUGAGAAGGUGAAUGUUUCAAUUCAUAAUAUUUGCUCUGUGUGCACAUGUGGG
rnacentral:lncRNA from 1 species